rnacentral:rRNA from 1 species
UACAGAGGUCUCAAGCGUUGUUCGGAUUCAUUGGGCGUAAAGGGUGCGUAGGCGGCGCGGUAAGUCGGGUGUGAAAUCUCGGAGCUUAACUCCGAAACUGCAUUCGAUACUGCCGUGCUUGAGGACUGGAGAGGAGACUGGAAUUCAUGGUGUAGCAGUGAAAUGCGUAGAGAUCAAGAGGAACACCAGUGGCGAAGGCGAGUCCCUGGACAACACCUGACACUGAGGCGCGAAAGCUGGAGGAGCAAACAGG